ACAUCAGUAUACCUACGUAAAAUAAAUAAAAUAAACAAAAUUUGGCCAAAUAAUGGGGCUAAUUAAAAUUCCACAGUAAAAAAGUACUACAUAAAUCAAUACAAUAGGAAAUUACAGUAUUUUACCUACUAUGCGUAGGGGGUCUAAAUUAUUUUUUGAUGCAGCUGUAUUUUCUACGUCUUUUUACAUUUCUUAUCAUCUCUUCUCUUACUUAAUUGAAAAAUAUCGGCCUAGGAAUAUAAUACUAGAAAAAUUAAAGAAAGACUCGUGAAGUGCCUACAGUAUGUUUAAGGAUAGGUGUUAAGCGGCGGCGGUGGAGGGAUGUGAUAAAAGUAAGGCGGCGUGUAGAGAACAUCCUCGAGACCCGCUACAGGCGUGGUCCGAGAAGGAGCCAAGGAUCUCACUGUCCCGUACAUACUCCGAUUUCGAUUAUACAUCAUAGCACAAUCACUGGCUGAAUAACCAUGAAUCCAAGCACGGUUUAAAAAGAAAAAAGCGCGCGCGAACUUCCAAAAUGGCGCACCAUCCCGCGUUGCGACAAUGUAGAACUUAUUUUUAUCCUACUCAAAAAUAAGCCACUAUUGUAUCGAUUUUGAGUGACAAGGUUUCUAAUAAAUAUUUACUAAUAUUUUAAA